rnacentral:SRP_RNA from 1 species
GCUGGGUGUGGUGGCACGUGCCUGUAGAUCCAGCUACUUGGGAGGCUGAAGCUGGAGGAUCUCUUGAGUCCAGGAGUUCUGGGCUGCAGUGCACUGUGCCAAUUGGGUGUCCGCACUAAGUUCGGCAUCAAUAUGGUGACCUCCUGGGAGCAGGGGACCACCAGAUUGCCUAAGGAGGGGUGAAUUGGCCCAGGUCAGAAACGGAGCAGGUCAAAACUCCCAUACUGAUCAGUAGUGGGAUUACACCUGUGAAUAGCCACUGCACUCCAGCCUGGGCAACAUAGCAAGACCCCAUCUCUC